rnacentral:rRNA from 1 species
UACAGAGGGUGCAAGCGUUGUUCGGAUUUACUGGGCGUAAAGGGCGCGUAGGCGGUCAGCACAAGUCAGUUGUGAAAUCUCCGGGCUUAACCCGGAAAGGUCAGCCGAUACUGCGGGGCUAGAGUGCAGAAGGGGCAACUGGAAUUCUCGGUGUAGCGGUGAAAUGCGUAGAUAUCGAGAGGAACACCUGCGGCGAAGACGGGUUGCUGGGCCGACACUGACGCUGAGGCGCGAAAGCCAGGGGAGCAAACGGG